UAAACGGCCCUAUUCAGGGCCAUCUAUAUAUUACAGAAAUACAAC
rnacentral:ncRNA from 1 species